AACGCACCUUGCGCCCUUUGGCUAUUCCGAAGGGCAUGCCUGUUUGAGUAUCAUGAACACCUCAACUCUCAUGGUUUGCCAUGAUGAGCUUGGACUUUGGAGGUCUUGCUGGCCUGUGGUCGGCUCCUCUCAAAUGAAUCAGCUUGCCAGUGUUUGGUGGCAUCCCAGGUGUGAUAACUAUCUACGCUUGUGGUUUUCCAUCAGAUAACCUUCAGUGAUGGAGGUUCGCUGGAGCUCAUAAAUGUCUCUCCUCAGCGAAGACAGCUCUGUGAACGUUUGAUCUCAAAUCAGGUAGGACUACCCGCUGAACUUAA
rnacentral:misc_RNA from 1 species